rnacentral:rRNA from 1 species
GUAGGUGGCAAGCGUUGUCCGGAAUUAUUGGGCGUAAAGCGCGCGCAGGUGGUUCUUUAAGUCUGAUGUGAAAGCCCCCGGGCUCAACCGGGGAGGGUCAUUGGAAACUGGGGAACUUGAGUGCAGGAGAGGAAAGUGGAAUUCCACGUGUAGCGGUGAAAUGCGUAGAUAUGUGGAGGAACACCAGUGGCGAAGGCGACUUUCUGGCCUGUAACUGACACUGAGGCGCGAAAGCGUGGGGAGCAAACAGGAUUAGAUACCCUGGUAGUCCACGCCGUAAACGAUGAGUGCUAAGUGUUGGGGGGUUUCCGCCCCUCAGUGCUGCAGCUAACGCAUUAAGCACUCCGCCUGGGGAGUACGGUCGCAAGACUG